CCCAUAUGGAACACUAAUGGCUCUUCUCUAGGGAAGCCAGGAACCUCAGGAAUUGGAGGUGUUCUCCGAAAUGGGGAACUUUAUUUGCCUCUUUGUUGCUCCAUUUGUUGGAUGGAUUAACAAGUGCAUUGCGUUUUCUUGAAAUACAAGGUAAUUUCUAUGGACAUUCAUAUAUCAGCUUUACACUUCAGCUCCAUCGGAUAUCAGUCUUCUCUUAGAGAAGGAAAUUCGACAGCUGAUUAGCUUGCUAGAUCCGAGAUCAACAGAGCUGAAGAAUUCAUAGUUUGGAUGUAGUCCUUUUUUUUCACUAUAUUUUCCUUCCAGGGUCUGUUUUAUGAUCUUCUUGUAAUGUGUCUUAUCUUUUGCUCCUCUCUAUGUAUCCUCUGGAGAUUUCUUCAGUCUCUACGAGGGCUACUGAAUUAUUAAUGGAAUUUAUUUGAGUUAUAAA